GGGCCCGCACAAGCGGUGGAGCAUGUGGUUUAAUUCGAUGCAACGCGAAGAACCUUACCUACUCUUGACAUCCAGAGAAGCCAGCGGAGACGCAGGUGUGCCUUCGGGAACUCUGAGACAGGUGCUGCAUGGCUGUCGUCAGCUCGUGUUGUGAAAUGUUGGUUAAGUCCCGCAACGAGCGCAACCCUUAUCCUUGUUUGCCAGCGAGUAAUGUCGGGAACUCCAGGGAGACUGCCGGUGAUAAACCGGAGGAAGGUGGGGACGACGUCAAGUCAUCAUGGCCCUUACGAGUAGGGCUACACACGUGCUACAAUGGCUAGGACAGACGGCCGCAAACCCGCAGGGGGAG
rnacentral:rRNA from 1 species